rnacentral:rRNA from 1 species
UACGGGGGGAGCAAGCGUUGUUCGGAUUUACUGGGCGUAAAGGGCGCGUAGGCGGCGUGACAAGUCACUUGUGAAAUCUCCGGGCUUAACUCGGAACGGUCAAGUGAUACUGUCGUGCUAGAGUACAGAAGGGGCAACUGGAAUUCUCGGUGUAGCGGUGAAAUGCGCAGAUAUCAGGAGGAACACCGGUGGCGAAGGCGGCUUGCUGGGCCAGUUCUGACGCUGAGGAGCGAAAGCGUGGGGAGCGAACAGG